rnacentral:lncRNA from 1 species
CCACCAUAUUAUUUGUCUUAACUCUUGUCUCAGUGAGACCAACAAGAUUUACUCUUAGUAUGCAAGUAGUUUUUAAGUUGCUUUUGCUUAUAUCUUUUAUUAAUACCCCUCAAGUUCCAAAACAGUCACUCUAUCAACAAGUUUUUUGGCCUCCGCCUCUAUCAAUAAGUGGUGAAGCAAGCUUGCUGUUCAACAGGUUUUCACAUGCAUGGACUUCAAUGGGACAAUAGCAAACUUAGGAAAGUUAUCCAAGUUAAAUUUUGGGCUAGGCCAGACUGCAUUAGGUUUAAGGCUAAGCUAUGAGGGCUCCCUGGUGGCCGGUGUUAUCCUCUCAGUCCCUAUUGCCACUUCUUGUUGCACAUCCCUCUUCUCUUGAGCGUGUUGAUUAAUAGUUUGAAGUCUUUCAGGCAGUGCAAGCUCCUGAUUCUUUGAUUUUACGGGUAAUUCAUCAGCAUGUUACGUUGCUGCUGUUUCUUGGAAUAGGUCCCUUAUACUGCCAGUCUUGGACUAAUUGCUUCCCAGGCCUCCUCCUAGGAGGAGGGUCAUCUUUAGCUUCAUUAGUUGUUGGAGGAGGGCAUUGGUGACCUAUUUUUUUGGCAUUUAGCACAAAAAUUUUGGUCUCUAUUUUAGCACCACAGGUUGAAUAAAGGUCCUGCCACUAGGAUCCUUGACAGUAAUUUCUUGAGGUAUUGGCUCGGUAAUAUUAAUCUUUAUAAGCAUUCUAGCAUAUGAGAUUCUAGUUUGUUUCGUAGUACACUCAUCAGCAAACAAAGGUGAUCCAAGAGCACUUACAAUCCUAUUCAGGGAUCAACCACCACAACACUUCAAAGGGAGCUUAGAAAGAGUCACCCAUAGUGGUAUUUUGGCCAUAAACUCACCACCAAAGUCAAAUUUCGGACUUCAUGGUUUUAGUACAAUUGAUCGACUAUUGAUAGUGAAUGGUUCAGUGUACAAAAUCUCCUGCAUCUCUCUAAUUGACUGAAAUUUGAUGGUGUAGUAGCCCUCCUCAUAAAGGAAUACAGA